UCUUUCAGUGCCCCAUUUUGAUAAACAUCUCAUUAACCUUUCCUUCUCUCCUUGUUCCCCAAGCAACCAUUUUUUAGUUUUAUAUCCUCUCUUUCUUUGUGACUCUAAAAACUAGUCACUCCUACGUGCACCUCUGAAACAAAAUUCACUUUAUUCUUUUCUUGACAUGCUCUUUUUCUCCUUCAAUCUUUUCCUAACGGUUAAAGUAAACUAACUUUCACAGGAAAAAGGCAGACAAGGAGGCUUUUUGUUCAUUCCAGUGGAACAUAUGGUUUUGGAGUUCUUUUAUGUUUCCUAUAUAAAUUUCUUCAAGCCAAACUAAUAGCUAUAUCUCUUUUUAAGAAUUUGCCUCUGCCUGGUUCCCCAUACAGGAGAUAAGGUUCAGAGCAGUCUCAAAUGGAUAAGGUGAACUCGGAGCUGUAUUUGCAGAAUUGUUACAUAAUCCAGCAAAAUGAACUGUUGAGGAAGAAAGCUCAAAGACUCAAUAAGGAGAACCAAGCUUUACUGACCGAGCUGAAACACAAGCUGUCCAGCGCAACCUCCAGUCAAAAUCCUAACAGUGAAAGUGACGAUAGCUCCACUUCCUCCACGGGUUUGAUCAAAUUCAGCAAAUCUUGAUCAAAGUCCAUUUUACAUUGUUGAAAACCAUAUUCCUUGGGUGAGAACAAUCUCCAAACAAAGAAUCGAUUGUAUCUUUGCUUCAACUAGAAUUCUUGUUACCUAAUCAGCCAUAUAUGUCGAGUUCCCAAAAGAGAGAAGAAAAAGAAAAGUGAGAUUGUGGAGGUAAAAAAUAAUGUGCUGAACCAUCAAAGUAUUUGAUUAAAAAUUAUGAAUAAAAGCUCUCUCCAUCAUGCCCAUACUUCAGGGGCUCUUAGCAAAA